UGGGGAAUUUUGGGACAAUGGGGGAAACCCUGAUCCAGCCAUCCCGCGUGUGCGAUGAAGGCCUUCGGGUUGUAAAGCACUUUUGGCAGGAAAGAAACGUCGCGGGUUAAUACCCCGCGAAACUGACGGUACCUGCAGAAUAAGCACCGGCUAACUACGUGCCAGCAGCCGCGGUAAUACGUAGGGUGCAAGCGUUAAUCGGAAUUACUGGGCGUAAAGCGUGCGCAGGCGGUUCGGAAAGAAAGAUGUGAAAUCCCAGAGCUUAACUUUGGAACUGCAUUUUUAACUACCGGGCUAGAGUGUGUCAGAGGGAGGUGGAAUUCCGCGUGUAGCAGUGAAAUGCGUAGAUAUGCGGAGGAACACCGAUGGCGAAGGCAGCCUCCUGGGAUAACACUGACGCUCAUGCACGAAAGCGUGGGGAGCAAACAGGAUUAGAUACCCUGGUAGUCCACGCCCUAAACGAUGUCAACUAGCUGUUGGGGCCUUCGGGCCUUGGUAGCGCAGCUAACGCGUGAAGUUGACCGCCUGGGGAGUACGGUCGG
rnacentral:rRNA from 1 species